rnacentral:sRNA from 1 species
CCCUAGCCCUGAUUGUCCCGAAGUUUCGGGAGCAAUCCUUUUGUUUUUUUCUUAAAAAAACAAAAGAUAUAGUGUAGAGCAGGACACGAG